rnacentral:lncRNA from 1 species
AUGUCAGUUAAUUAGAUAUAAACUUAUAUUGAAAAUAUAUUGAAGUAUUAAUCAUGAAAUUUAAAUUUUUGUUAUUUAUAAUUAGUUUUGGAAAAGUUUUCAUACAAUAAAUUUUGAAAGCAAAUUUGGAUCUUACCUUGCUUUGAUAUACAGUAUGUUAUUUAGUGUAAUUACAAGAUCCUGGCAUUCAUUUGUACCAUUAUCAUUGUGUUCUGUUGUGAUGAAGUCCAAAGAUUAGGUCUACUUUUGCCAUUCAUUCCUGUUAUUGGCUAAGUUUUGUAGAUUAAAAUAGCUCAUUCAGUCUUUGAAUUGACCGAUUUCAUGAUAAACGCCCAUUGCCAUGACGUUGCAAUAUGUCGUCUGUACGACGAAAAACAAAUCACAUGUGGUCGCGUGCUUGAAUGUUCUACCAUGACGUUUCUUCAAAAUCUAAAUAAAUUUACAAUCAAAAUAGGCUUUGGUUAUUUUAAACGCCAUUCAAAUAAUACAAGAAGAUCAAAAGAACGUGGUUUCUCCUUUUUUUUGUGCAAGUUAUAUACAUAAACUUAAAUUGAAAGGAAAUAUAUUUUCGGCC